CCUACGGGUGGCAGCAGUGAGGAAUAUUGGUCAAUGGGCGCGAGCCUGAACCAGCCAAGUAGCGUGAAGGAUGACUGCCCUACGGGUUGUAAACUUCUUUUAUCAAGGAAUAAAGUGAGGCACGUGUGCCUUUUUGUAUGUAUUUUAUGAAUAAGGAUCGGCUAACUCCGUGCCAGCAGCCGCGGUAAUACGGAGGAUCCGAGCGUUAUCCGGAUUUAUUGGGCGUAAAGCGCUCGUAGGCGGGAAGUCAAGUCAAGGGUGAAAACCCCGGGCUCAACGUGGGAACUGCCUUUGAACCUGGCAAACUGGAGUGUGUGAGAGGAUAGUGGAAUUCCAGGUGUAGGGGUGAAAUCCGUAGAUAUCUGGAGGAACAUCAGUGGCGAAGGCGACUAUCUGGCACAUAACUGACGCUGAGGAGCGAAAGCGUGGGUAGCAAACAGGAUUAGAUACCCGAGUAGUC
rnacentral:rRNA from 1 species